rnacentral:rRNA from 1 species
UACGGGGGGGGCAAGCGUUGUUCGGAAUUACUGGGCGUAAAGGGCUCGUAGGCGGCCAACUAAGUCGGGUGUGAAAUCCCCGGGCUCAACCUGGGAAUUGCAUUCGAUACUGGAUAGCUAGAGUUCGGCAGGGGAGACUGGAAUUCCUGGUGUAGCGGUGAAAUGCGCAGAUAUCAGGAGGAACACCGGUGGCGAAGGCGGGUCUCUGGGCCGAUACUGACGCUGAGGAGCGCAAGCGUGGGGAGCGAACAGG